rnacentral:rRNA from 1 species
CCCUUAGAUGUUCUGGGCCACACGCGCGCUACACUGACGAAUGCAACGAGCUUAUAACCUUGGCCGAAAGGUCUGGGUAAUCUCCAAAUUUCGUCGUGAUGGGGAUAGAUUAUUGCAAUUAUUAAUCUUCAACGAGGAAUGCCUAGUAAGCGCAAGUCAUCAGCUUGCGUUGAUUACGUCCCUGCCCUUUGUACACACCGCCCGUCGCUCCUACCGAUUGAAUGGUCCGGUGAAGCGUUCGGACCGUGGCCUUUGGACGGUUCGCCGUCUGUUGGCUGCGGGAAGUUCGUUAAACCUUAUCAUUUAGAGGAAGGAGAANUCGUAACA